GUGUCGUUCACUGUCAAGUGUUACCUAACCUGGAACUUUCGCGUCAAGUGAUUCAUGUCGAGUUUUUUCGUUUUCGUUGGUCAGUAAUUAAUUUCCGUACUACGUCGCGAUAAGAUGAAGCGGAGGAAUAUAUAAAGUUUGUGAAAUGCUUGUGUGUUAGUGAAAGUCCUGCAACUUUGGAAGCAUGGGCCUAACCUAACAGACUAAACGAUGUGGGUAGUCCUCGCCAGUAGUUCAGCUUUACGUGCUGUGAACUAGGCUACAUAUUACUACUGUGUACAUCUUUUGGCUCAUAAUGUGACCAGCCAUCUUGAGAAGGUAAGAAUGUGCACUAAUCUUGAGGUGUAUGGAUGCCUUAACCAAGCAUGAACUGGAGGUCUACAGUCAUUGAAACUAAGUAAAAUGCCAGUGUUGAAAAAGAAGAGGGGUUCGUUGAGAGAUUGCUACAGAAAGGCAUUGAACAGGAAAAAAACAGUAAGUGGCCAGAAAGCAGCUAAUGCCGCUCCAUGGAAGUAUGAGCAACAAAUGUCUUAUUUGAAGGCGCAUGUACUUCAAAAAAGACCUCAAACAAAUAGUUUGGGAGACAUCGGGACGCAGGACGAGAACCCUGACUCAGGAGUAGGAACCUAUGAUGAAGAGACGUCGGGAGACAUCACACCGCAUGAGUUACCUGAAGAAGACGCUGCUGCACUUUCGGACUCUGUCAGUAUUCCGCCCCCUACUAAAAGAGCGGCUAGGACAUCAUCCUCAGAAAGAAGAAAGUGCAAUACUUCAGCAUCCGCUCACGAUAUAAUUAAAACAUACUUUUCAAAUAAAAGUUCAGGUAGAGACCAUCUAACAGCAUACUUUAAAAUGGUUGAGGAAACUGUCAGAACUUUCUCCCCCCUUCAACAAGUUGAAAUAAAAACUCUAAUCAGUUCUUUGCUCUCUGAAUAUGAAUACAAAAACUUAGUUCACCUCCAUCGCAUCAUAUUUCCCCAUCACCAACCUUCUCAGGUUGUAGUUCAACACCUGUUCCUUUGACAUCACCAUCGUCACGAGCUUCUGAUGAAGCACAAUGCCCUUACCCAAUACCAUCUGCACCAGUUGGAGCUUCAUCACAGCUCCUGGCCGUAUCACCAUCUUGUACCGAAUACAACCCACAUUUCUUCCUCACACAUCCAAAACUAAUCAUAAUCAGUACACAAAUUUAUAAAUUUUGUUAAUCACAUGUUCUUACACUAGGGAGCAGUGUAGCCACUCAUAAAAUGUGUAACAAUAAAUAUUGUUGGAAAAAUACAAAACAUUGUGCCUACAGAAAGUUAUUUUGGUUUGUGUUUGUUAACUAUAAUAAUUGUUUUCACAAAAGGAAUUAUUGUGAACAUUCAUUAAGUGUGUAACAAUAGAUAUUGUUGAAAGCAUGCAAAACAGUGUGCCU